rnacentral:rRNA from 1 species
AAUGAACAGGGAAACGCUCAGGCUUAAGACCAAGGCUCUGGUUUUGGGUUGUAGCCUGCAGAUAUUGCGCUAUCGGUGGCUCGAGCGUAAGCCUCUUGGAAUAGAGCGUAAACUUGGGUGAGAAUCCUCUGUUUCGCUCGGUGUCCGCUGUGUACGGCGCAUGUUCUCAGAGUCACGUUCCUCGGACUUGGAGCGUAAAUUAGGUGGUAGAUUUCAUCUAAAGCUAAAUAAAGGCCUAAGACCGAUAGCGAACAAGUACCAUGAGGGAAAGAUGAAAAGGACUUUGGAAAGAGAGUUAAAAGUGCUUGAAAUCGCUGGAAGGGAAGCGAAUGCAACCACACUCUCUGCUGAGAUUGCCGCGGGCGCUUGCAAGCUCUGAGCUCAGAAGCGCAAGAUCUGUGUUUGGCUGUGCGCGGGCGCUCGUGGUGUUUCUUAGUGAAGAUAUCAGGUGUCACGUACGUUCGAACAGGGCCUUGAGCAUGCAUUUGUCGCUCGUGAGCGAUAUCCUGUGCUCCGUGGGAUUCGGACAUAUGUGGCUUACUGAUUCAGUGGUUUUUUUCGACCCGUCUUGAAACAC